rnacentral:rRNA from 1 species
GUGCCAGCCGCCGCGGUAAUACGUAGGCAGCGAGCGUUGUUCGGAGUUACUGGGCGUAAAGGGUGUGUAGGCGGUUCUCUAAGUUUGGUGUGAAAUCUCCCGGCUCAACCGGGAGGGUGCGCCGAAAACUGGAGGGCUAGAGUGCGGGAAGGGAGAGUGGAAUUCCUGGUGUAGCGGUGAAAUGCGUAGAUAUCAGGAGGAACACCGGUGGUGUAGACGGCUCUCUGGACCGCGACUGACGCUGAGACACGAAAGCGUGGGUAGCAAACAGGAUUAGAUACCCGCGUAGUCC